GAACGCUGGCGGCAGGCCUAACACAUGCAAGUCGAGCGGUAGAGAGAAGCUUGCUUCUCUUGAGAGCGGCGGACGGGUGAGUAAUGCCUAGGAAUCUGCCUGGUAGUGGGGGAUAACGUUCGGAAACGGACGCUAAUACCGCAUACGUCCUACGGGAGAAAGCAGGGGACCUUCGGGCCUUGCGCUAUCAGAUGAGCCUAGGUCGGAUUAGCUAGUUGGUGGGGUAAUGGCUCACCAAGGCGACGAUCCGUAACUGGUCUGAGAGGAUGAUCAGUCACACUGGAACUGAGACACGGUCCAGACUCCUACGGGAGGCAGCAGUGGGGAAUAUUGGACAAUGGGCGAAAGCCUGAUCCAGCCAUGCCGCGUGUGUGAAGAAGGUCUUCGGAUUGUAAAGCACUUUAAGUUGGGAGGAAGGGCAGUAAAUUAAUACUUUGCUGUUUUGACGUUACCGACAGAAUAAGCACCGGCUAACUCUGUGCCAGCAGCCGCGGUAAUACAGAGGGUGCAAGCGUUAAUCGGAAUUACUGGGCGUAAAGCGCGCGUAGGUGGUUAGUUAAGUUGGAUGUGAAAUCCCCGGGCUCAACCUGGGAACUGCAUUCAAAACUGACUGACUAGAGUAUGGUAGAGGGUGGUGGAAUUUCCUGUGUAGCGGUGAAAUGCGUAGAUAUAGGAAGGAACACCAGUGGCGAAGGCGACCACC
rnacentral:rRNA from 1 species